ACUGGUUCUGCUAUAUUUUAUGUACGAUGAUGCUAAUUCUCUGGAACUCUGUCCUCAUUAAUGUUGUUUGCGAUGAUGUCACUUCUUUGAUUCCAUAGAACUUUGACUGCUAUAUUUUCUUUGACAUGAUGCCAAUUCUCUGGAAGUGUAUCUGCAUGGGCACAUGGACACAUAUGGGUCUAGGGGUGCCUGAGUACCUACACCUUUGCCCUCCUAUGAGUAACAUGCCCUUUCAGAUUCCACACAUUUUUUAAUCAAUACAUAUUUAUUUUACUUUAGUUCUCUCUUUUUGUUACCGAUCUCUUGUUACCCAUCAGAAUUGCCCAUCAAACUAGGCCAUUUCUCAUAAGCUCUUGUCUUGGAAGAUUCCCCCUCCCUGUCCUUCUGCCCCCGAGCCGUCUCUGUGAGCAGUAUCUAGCUGGCUUAUUUACAGUGGGAUGUGUGUGUUUUUUGAAGGGAAAAAAGUCCUACAGGACCAGUAGAGAAUUAUAAACGGAAGGAUUUUAAGUUGGUAAUUAACAUUACGUGGUCAAUUCCUGUUGUAUUGUUGUUUUAAUUUUCUUAGAGGAAGGCAGCUUUCCUAAUGCAACUGUUUCAGCCUCACAUAGUGCUCUCUGUAGCGGCCCUAAUGCAACUGUUUCAGCCUCACUUAGUGCUCUCUGUAGCUGCCCUAAUGCAACUGUUUCAGCCUCACUUAGUGCUCUCUGUAGCUGCCCUAAUGCAACUCUCUGUAGCUGCCCUAAUGCAACUGUUUCAGCCUCACUUAGUGCUCUCUGUAGCUGCGCUAAUGCAACUGUUUCAGCCUCACUUAGUGCUCUCUGUAGCUGCCCUAAGGCAACUGUUUCAGCCUCACGUAGUGCUCUCUGUAGCGGCCCUAAUGCAACUGUUUCAGCCUCACUUAGUGCUCUCUGUAGCUGCCCUAAUGCAACUGUUUCAGCCUCACUUAGUGCUCUCUGUAGCUGCCCUAAUGCAACUGUUUCAGCCUCACUUAGUGCUCUCUGUAGCUGCCGUAAUGCAACUGUUUCAGCCUCACUUAGUGCUCUCUGUAGCGGCAGGGCUAGACAGGGGCUACCCUCCAUCUUCCCUGGUUGCGCGUGAUAGGCUACGCUGGAUUUUAUUAUCUAAAGUCAAAUCAACUUUACUCUGUAAAAGUAUAUGCUCGACUCCCGUGUUCCACAGUGGUGCAAUAACAGGUAAGGACAUGGGAAGAAGCCUAUAAACUUCAUCAUCACCCAAAGUUAAAAUGUUUGUGUGUGUAGCUCAAAACUCAUUUCUGCCGUUGGUUAUUAUUCUGCAUUCAAUAUGUAGUGUAAUGUAGUGGUUUCAAUGCAAAUCAACUUUUUGAUAGAGUUUGUCUCACCAACAUCUACAUGUUCAAAUCGCCACUGGGAACAUUGUGUGCUGUAUUUACUUUGUGAUGAUGCCAAUUCUCUGGAAACUAUUUAUUAGCUCUAAUUUGAAUUUUACUAUUUGAAAUGAGAACUUCCCUCUUCAGCAUAUGUUAUAAAAUCAAGCAGGUUUGGUACCUUCUACCAUACUCUGGGAGACAGAGGCCAUAACCAUCAAGAUAAGACCACACAAGAAGGCUCACUCCAGACAGGUGCCCAGGGUAACCAACAUCUAAGUUCAUCACAAACAGAUAUCUGAGAGGACAGAAAACAACUAACCAGUCACAUCAAAGACCAUUGAAACCAGUUGCCAGAGGUAAA